GGGUCAGUAGGUUGGUCGUGCCACCGGUAUGCACUGGCCUCACUGAUUCCUCCUUCUUGUAGAACCGUAAUGCCAUUUAGUUGGUGUUGCGGGGAAACAGGACUGUUACUUUGAAAAAAUUAGAGUGUUCAAAGCAGGCAUACGCUCGAAUACAUUAGCAUGGAAUAAUGGAAUAGGACG
rnacentral:rRNA from 1 species